rnacentral:SRP_RNA from 1 species
AGCCAGACCCCAGGCAAUAGGCUGCCGCGCACCCCGUCAGAUCCGGAAGGAAGCAGCGGACGCGGUGGGUCUAUGUGCCUGGCAAGUCUGGCUUUU